CGGUACCUACGGGGGGCAGCAGUGGGGAAUAUUGCACAAUGGGGGAAACCCUGAUGCAGCAACGCCGCGUGAGUGAAGAAGUAUUUCGGUACGUAAAGCUCUAUCAGCAGGGAAGAAAAAAGGACGGUACCUGAGUAAGAAGCCCCGGCUAACUACGUGCCAGCAGCCGCGGUAAUACGUAGGGGGCAAGCGUUAUCCGGAAUUACUGGGUGUAAAGGGAGCGUAGACGGCAAUGCAAGUCCGGAGUGGAAUGCGGCAGCUCAAAUGCCGAACUGCUCUGGAAACUGUAUGGCUUGGGUGCAGGG
rnacentral:rRNA from 1 species